rnacentral:rRNA from 1 species
GUGCCCAGCCGCCCGGUAAUACCGGCAGCCCGAGUGAUGCCCGAUCUUAUUGGGCCUAAAGCGUCCGUAGCUGGCUGCGCAAGUCCGUCGGGAAAUCCACUCGCCCAACGAGUGGGCGUCCGACGGAAACUGCACAGCUUGGGACCGGAAGGCUCGAAGGGUACGUUCGGGGUAGGAGUGAAAUCCCAUAAUCCCGCACGGACCACCGAUGGCGAAAGCACUUCGAGAAAACGGAUCCGACAGUGAGGGACGAAAGCCAGGGUCUCCAACCGGAUUAGAAACCCUGGUAGUCC